rnacentral:lncRNA from 1 species
GAUGAACUAUAGUGCUGGCUGGCAGAGGGCAGGGUGUAGAGCGGUAUUGGGGUUCACUUUGGAAAACAAAAUUUGAUAGUAGGAUUUGAUGGUUCUUUGGAGAAGGGAACAUAUAAAAGGUAGGGUCUUGCUAAGUUGCCCAGGCUGGCCUCAAAUGUUUGAUCUUCCUGCCUCAGCCUCUUUGGUGCUAGGAUUACAGGUUGUCCUGGAACUCACUGUGUAACCCAGGCAGGACUUGAACUUGUGAUCCUCCCACCUGCCUCCUGAUUACAAGAAUUACCUGGGAUUAUAGACUUGCGGCUACAGCAGAUUUCUGGCUCAAGCUGACCCCAAGAUGCCAGUGUGCAGACUUCUGAGACAACCAGGUCCCUCAGGAGCCAUCAUUCACAGCUGUGCAAAGGCUGGUGGGCACAGCUGGGAUGGUAGGUGGUUGUCUCCCAUCAGCAAGAGUUUAUGGAAGAGAUCUUGUCUGCAAGAGGAGGAGGAGAAAAAAGGCAGAGGAAUCCCUCACUUCAAAUGAGGUUAUGGAGAUGCGUAAAAUGUGGGCAACAGUGCAAAAUUUUGUGGAAAAACACCACCCGAAUAAAGCUGUAGCAGUGCGAGCAAUGAAUCUGUCUAACCACAAUACAAUGUCUCAUUUCUGCGAAAUCCUCAAAAGGAGGCAAAAGCAAGUGUCACUGGAUAGGUUCUUUGUUAGAUUUGCAUGAAAAGAAAAAGACCCCAUUGAGCCAACAGAUAGCAGUGAUUCCAUAUUGACAGUGAAAGUCCUCUUAAUGACCCUCCUCUCUCUUGUCUCUCUCACACCGGCCAUGAAGUUUGCAAAAGUGCAG